rnacentral:misc_RNA from 1 species
UCCGGUUUGUCACCGGCAGUCUCAUUAGAGUGCCCUUUCGUAGCAACUAAUGACAAGGGUUGCGCUCGUUAAGGGACUUAACCCGACACUUCACAGCACGAGCUGACGACAGCCAUGCAGCAUCUGUGAACGGGCUCCGAAGAGCGACCCUGAUCUCUCAAGAUCUUCCCGUACAUGUCAAGCCCAGGUAAGGUUCUUCGCGUUGCGUCGAAUUAAACCACAUGCUCCACCGCUUGUGCAGGCCCCCGUCAAUUCCUUUGAGUUUCAGUCUUGCGACCGUACUCCCCAGGCGGAGUGCUUAAUGCGUUAGCUGCAGCACUAAAGGGCGGAAACCCCCUAACACUUAGCACUCAUCGUUUACGGCGUGGACUAC